rnacentral:rRNA from 1 species
UUGGACCUACGGGGCGCAGCAGUCGGGAAUAUUGCGCAAUGGAGGAAACUCUGACGCAGUGACGCCGCGUAUAGGAAGAAGGUUUUCGGAUUGUAAACUAUUGUCGUGAGGGAAGAAAUUGACAGUACCUCAGGAGGAAGCUCCGGCUAACUAUGUGCCAGCAGCCGCGGUAAUACAUAGGGAGCAAGCGUUAUCCGGAUUUAUUGGGUGUAAAGGGUGCGUAGACGGGAAAUUAAGUUAGUUGUGAAAUCCCUCGGCUUAACUGAGGAACUGCAACUAAAACUGCUUUUGUUGAGUGUUGGAGA